rnacentral:rRNA from 1 species
UACGUAGGGUGCGAGCGUUGUCCGGAAUUAUUGGGCGUAAAGAGCUCGUAGGCGGUCUGUCGCGUCGAUCGUGAAAACUUGGGGCUUAACUCUGAGCUUGCGGUCGAUACGGGCAUGACUGGAGUUCGGCAGGGGAGACUGGAAUUCCUGGUGUAGCGGUGAAAUGCGCAGAUAUCAGGAGGAACACCGGUGGCGAAGGCGGGUCUCUGGGCCGAUACUGACGCUGAGGUGCGAAAGCGUGGGGAGCAAACAGG